CAGUCGCCGCGGUAAUGCGAAGGGUGCAAGCGUUAAUCGGAAUUACUGGGCGUAAAGCGUGCGUAGGCGGUUUGUUAAGUCUGUUGUGAAAUCCCCGGGCUCAACCUGGGAAUGGCAAUGGAUACUGGCAAGCUAGAGUGUGUCAGAGGAUGGUGGAAUUCCCGGUGUAGCGGUGAAAUGCGUAGAGAUCGGGAGGAACAUCAGUGGCGAAGGCGGCCAUCUGGGACAACACUGACGCUGAGGCACGAAAGCGUGGGGAGCAAACAGGAUUAGAUACCCCUGUAGUCCCUGUCUCUUAUAC
rnacentral:rRNA from 1 species